rnacentral:rRNA from 1 species
AUUGAACGCUGGCGGCAGGCUUAACACAUGCAAGUCGAGCGAGCGGCGGACGGGUGAGUAAUGUCUGGGAAACUGCCUGAUGGAGGGGGAUAACUCCUGGAAACGGUAGCUAAUACCGCAUACCAUCAGAUGUGCCCAGAUGGGAUUAGCUAGUAGGUGGGGUAAUGGCUCACCUAGGCGACGAUCCCUAGCUGGUCUGAGAGGAUGACCGGGCACACUGGAACUGAGAGACGGUCCCGCCUCCUACGGGAGGCAGCAGUGGGGAGUAGUGGACAAGGGUGGCAGGCAUGAUGCAGGCAUGCCGCGAGGGCGAAGAAGGCCUUCGGGUUGUAAAGCACUUUAAGCGAGGAGGCGUUACUCGCAGAAGAAGCACCGGCUAACUCCGUGCCAGCAGCCGCGGUAAUAC